rnacentral:rRNA from 1 species
UUGAACGCUGGCGGCAGGCCUAACACAUGCAAGUCGAACGGUAACAGGAAACAGCUUGCUGUUUCGCUGACGAGUGGCGGACGGGUGAGUAAUGUCUGGGAAACUGCCCGAUGGAGGGGGAUAACUACUGGAAACGGUAGCUAAUACCGCAUAACGUCGCAAGACCAAAGAGGGGGACCUUCGGGCCUCUUGCCAUCGGAUGUGCCCAGAUGGGAUUAGCUAGUAGGUGGGGUAACGGCUCACCUAGGCGACGAUCCCUAGCUGGUCUGAGAGGAUGACCAGCCACACUGGAACUGAGACACGGUCCAGACUCCUACGGGAGGCAGCAGUGGGGAAUAUUGCACAAUGGGCGCAAGCCUGAUGCAGCCAUGCCGCGUGUAUGAAGAAGGCCUUCGGGUUGUAAAGUACUUUCAGCGGGGAGGAAGGGAGUAAAGUUAAUACCUUUGCUCAUUGACGUUACCCGCAGAAGAAGCACCGGCUAACUCCGUGCCAGCAGCCGCGGUAAUACGGAGGGUGCAAGCGUUAAUCGGAAUUACUGGGCGUAAAGCGCACGCAGGCGGUUUGUUAAGUCAGAUGUGAAAUCCCCGGGCUCAACCUGGGAACUGCAUCUGAUACUGGCAAGCUUGAGUCUCGUAGAGGGGGGUAGAAUUCCAGGUGUAGCGGUGAAAUGCGUAGAGAUCUGGAGGAAUACCGGUGGCGAAGGCGGCCCCCUGGACGAAGACUGACGCUCAGGUGCGAAAGCGUGGGGAGCAAACAGGAUUAGAUACCCUGGUAGUCCACGCCGUAAACGAUGUCGACUUGGAGGUUGUGCCCUUGAGGCGUGGCUUCCGGAGCUAACGCGUUAAGUCGACCGCCUGGGGAGUACGGCCGCAAGGUUAAAACUCAAAUGAAUUGACGGGGGCCCGCACAAGCGGUGGAGUAUGUGGUUUAAUUCGAUGCAACGCGAAGAACCUUACCUGGUCUUGACAUCCACGGAAGUUUUCAGAGAUGAGAAUGUGCCUUCGGGAACCGUGAGACAGGUGCUGCAUGGCUGUCGUCAGCUCGUGUUGUGAAAUGUUGGGUUAAGUCCCGCAACGAGCGCAACCCUUAUCCUUUGUUGCCAGCGGUCCGGCCGGGAACUCAAAGGAGACUGCCAGUGAUAAACUGGAGGAAGGUGGGGAUGACGUCAAAUCAUCAUGCCCCUUAUGACCGGGGCUACACACGUGCUACAAUGGCGCAUACAAAGAGAAGCGACCUCGCGAGAGCAAGCGGACCUCAUAAAGUGCGUCGUAGUCCGGAUUGGAGUCUGCAACUCGACUCCAUGAAGUCGGAAUCGCUAGUAAUCGUGGAUCAGAAUGCCACGGUGAAUACGUUCCCGGGCCUUGUACACACCGCCCGUCACACCAUGGGAGUGGGUUGCAAAAGAAGUAGGUAGCUUAACCUUCGGGAGGGCGCUUACCACUUUGUGAUUCAUGACUGGGGUG